rnacentral:lncRNA from 1 species
AUAAUAUAAAUAGGGAUACAAAACUGAGAAAUAAAUUAGGAUAAAUUAUUAAAAAAAUAAAAAACAUUUUUUUUCUGCUGCUGUUUAUUUUAAAAACAUUUGCUUAAAUACUUAUUUCUGUACUGUAUACGUAUAUUAGAAAACACAGCUGGAGUGAGAUUAGGGCUGUCGGCUUAUUCCUUGCAUUUAAAUUCUGCAUUUUUUAUCUGCAAAGAAUGAAAAUGGCGGAUUGCGGAAUUCACGUUCUCCCGAUGAGAAAUCAAGGAAUUAAUCACAGAGGAUUCCUUCAGACUCUGAUGUCACACCUGGAGCGCAUGAAUUCCACAUUCUGACACACAACACCCCCAAGCGCCAGGGAAACUAAACAAAAAGAAAGCAGGCAGCUGUAAAAUCCACAGAGAGCUGCUUUCUCUGUUGAAAUUGAUGUAACUGUGAGUAUGUUUCUGCAAUGAAAGAAUUGUAAAUCGUUACAGUAAUAAAUGGAUUGGCUAUAUUACUGAUACUAUUAACACAGAGAGACAUACAGUGAGGAUAUCACUAUCUGUGUGUAGUGUCUCUGACUGUCUGCAGCCAGGCUGUGAAUUUACUGCCGCUCACUCAGUGCUGUCCGUGGCUGAGCUUUGUACGUACAUUUGAUGAGGAAGUCUUUCUGGCAUGAGGAGGCGUGGCUAAAAGAGGCCGGCUUCUGGUGCAGCAUUCUGCAAAACAUUUACAGGGUUAUUCACUAAAGUGAGAAUUCAAUGUGAAUUUAAAAUUUAGGAUCAAAGUAGCUGAACGGGAGACAUUCUCUUAGUCAGCUCUGCUUUCCAUGCAGCUACUCUAGUCGUAAUUCUCAAAUUCACUUUGAAAUCACUUCCAGGACUCACUUUAUUGAAUAACCCAGCUAUUUGUUUGUGCAAAUCUAUAAAAAAAUUUGAGAAUGCAAAUAAUACAGCUAAGUAACGAGGUCAAAUCUAGCACGUUUAUUACAAUUGUAUUGUUGGCUGGAGUGCUUAUUUAAUUUGGGAUGCCUUCUUGAUGAAUUCAUUGAUUUCCCUCUUUUGGGAUAUUAAUUGCAUUGAUUAUUUGCACUCAUCUACUCAUUUCCAUUUCAAAGUUGUGGGAAUAUAUUUUGAAAAAUUGAUCUAUGUAAUUCUUUAAAAAAACCGUCCAGAUUUCAUAAAUCGUGGUAAAUACAACUUCCUUAAUUGUGUUUCACAGGAUCCGUUUCUAACUUGAUCUAAUAACUAUAGAACUAUAAUAACUGUCAUGCGUCUGCUGAGAUGGUUUAGGGAAAUGAAACGGAUACUUCCUGAAACUGGACCUUCUGCUAACCAGGACACAUUAUAAGAUUGUAGAAAAGAGAACCCAGUGAGUCGAUGUAACUAAUUCUCAGACAAUAAAUGGACACAUUUCUAAUUUAUAAAAUAAAGCUUUGAUUUGAAUGCAUUAAUCACAAAUAUUAAUAAAUAUACAUCACUAUCUGAUAAUAUGUUUACAAUGUUUUAAUGUUAUAGUAAUGACACGUUAUGAUAAAUCUCUCUCGAUGAAGAUGUUCUCUACCACAAACACUUCAUGUUACACAUGAUACAUUCAGAAUAAUAUAAAUAAACACAGCCUUCGUUUUAGAAUGGAAAGCCAGGACUAGUAUGUAACAUCUAACAUCUAAAAUAACUCCCAAUACAAUAACUGCUAAUACAACAACUGCUAAUGCAAUAACUGCUAAUGCAAUAACUCCCAAUACAAUAACUCCUAAUGCAAUAACUGCUAAUACAAUAACUGCUAAUACAAUAACUCCCAAUACAAUAACUCCCAAUGCAAUAACUGCUAAUACAAUAACUGCUAAUGCAAUAACUCCCAAUACAAUAACUCCCAAUACAAUAACGUCUAAUACAAUAACUCCUAAUACAAUAACUCCCAAUAUAUUAACUCCCAAUACAAUAACUGCUAAUGCAAUAACUCCCAAUACAAUAACUCCCAAUACAAUAACUUCUAAUACAAUAACUGCUAAUACAAUAACUCCUAAUACAAUAACUCCCAAUAUAUUAACUCCCAAUACAAUAACUGCUAAUGCAAUAACUCCCAAUACAAUAACUCCCAAUACAAUAACUCCCAAUACAAUAACUCCCAAUGCAAUAACUGCUAAUACAAUAACUGCUAAUAUAAUAACUCCCAAUACAAUAACGUCUAAUACAAUGACUGCUAAUAUAAUAACUCCCAAUACAAUAACUGCUAAUAUAAUAACUCCCAAUACAAUAAUUGCUAAUACAAUAACUCCCAAUACAAUAACUCCCAAUACAAUAACUGCUAAUAUAAUAACUCCCAAUUCAAUAACUGCUAAUGCAAUAACUCCCAAUACAAUAACUCCCAAUACAAUUACUCCUAAUGCAAUAAUUGCUAAUGCAAUAAUUGCUAAUACAAUAACUCCCAAUACAAUAAUGUCUAAUACAAUAACUCCCAAUCCAAUAACUCCCAAUGCAAUAACUGCUAAUACAAUAACUGCUAAUAUAAUAACUCCCAAUACAAUAACGUCUAAUACAAUGACUGCUAAUAUAAUAACUCCCAAUACAAUAAUUGCUAAUACAAUAACUCCCAAUACAAUAACUCCCAAUACAAUAACGUCUAAUACAAUAACUGCCAAUACAAUAACGUUUUUGAUAAUGUAAUAAUAAGAGCGUUUGCUUUGUCUAAGAGGAUUUAGGGGAGGGAGCACCUUCAGAUAUUUUAUGUUCCUUUUGGUCAGCUUGAGGGUUUAUUUCUUUUGAUGUAUGUGUAACAGUUGAAUAUUUUGUGAUAUUUUCUAAAUAAAGAAUGUAUUAUCGCUAAGGUUUAAUUGCUUCCCGUGUCUCCCGCUCCUUUCUUGUAACUGAGAGGACUCAGAGAAAGUUUGGUGUGAACUGUGCACUCAUCUCUGCGUGAAGCUGUGAGUGUGUACUCAGCACUGUGUGAAGCUGUGAGUGUGUGCUCAGAACUGCAUGAAGCUGUGAGUGUGAG